ensembl:miRNA
UAAAGCUGUGAUGUUUCUGGCCCUGGGUGCUAGCGUUGGAUCACUCAGUGUUGCGGGUGCUAGCGUUGGAUCACUCGGUGCCGUGCCAUCCAUGGUUCUGAACAG